UACGGAGGGGGCUAGCGUUGUUCGGAAUUACUGGGCGUAAAGCGCACGUAGGCGGCUUUGUAAGUUAGAGGUGAAAGCCCGGGGCUCAACUCCGGAAUUGCCUUUAAGACUGCAUCGCUAGAAUUGUGGAGAGGUAAGUGGAAUUCCGAGUGUAGAGGUGAAAUUCGUAGAUAUUCGGAAGAACACCGGUGGCGAAGGCGGCGAGCUGGUCCAUUACUGACGCUGAGGCGCGACAGCGUGGGGAGCAAACAGG
rnacentral:rRNA from 1 species